GCGUGCCUUUUGUAGAAUGAACCGGCGAGUUACGAUUUGAUGCAAGGUUAAGCAGUAAAUGUGGAGCCGUAGCGAAAGCGAGUCUGAAUAGGGCGUUUAGUAUUUGGUCGUAGACCCGAAACCAGGUGAUCUACCCUUGGUCAGGUUGAAGUUCAGGUAACACUGAAUGGAGGACCGAACCGACUUACGUUGAAAAGUGAGCGGAUGAACUGAGGGUAGCGGAGAAAUUCCAAUCGAACCUGGAGAUAGCUGGUUCUCUCCGAAAUAGCUUUAGGGCUAGCCUCAAGUGAUGAUUAUUGGAGGUAGAGCACUGUUUGGACGAGGGGCCCCUCUCGGGUUACCGAAUUCAGACAAACUCCGAAUGCCAAUUAAUUUAACUUGGGAGUCAGAACAUGGGUGAUAAGGUCCGUGUUCGAAAGGGAAACAGCCCAGACCACCAGCUAAGGUCCCAAAAUAUAUGUUAAGUGGAAAAGGAUGUGGCGUUGCCCAGACAACUAGGAUGUUGGCUUAGAAGCAGCCAUCAUUUAAAGAGUGCGUAAUAGCUCACUAGUCGAGUGACACUGCGCCGAAAAUGUACCGGGGCUAAACAUAUUACCGAAGCUGUGGAUUGUCCUUUGGACAAUGGUAGGAGAGCGUUCUAAGGGCGUUGAAGCAUGAUCGUAAGGACAUGUGGAGCGCUUAGAAGUGAGAAUGCCGGUGUGAGUAGCGAAAGACGGGUGAGAAUCCCGUCCACCGAUUGACUAAGGUUUCCAGAGGAAGGCUCGUCCGCUCUGGGUUAGUCGGGUCCUAAGCUGAGGCCGACAGGCGUAGGCGAUGGAUAACAGGUUGAUAUUCCUGUACCACCUAUAAUCGUUUUAAUCGAUGGGGGGACGCAGUAGGAUAGGCGAAGCGUGCGAUUGGAUUGCACGUCUAAGCAGUAAGGCUGAGUAUUAGGCAAAUCCGGUACUCAUUAAGGCUGAGCUGUGAUGGGGAGAAGACAUUGUGUCUUCGAGUCGUUGAUUUCACACUGCCGAGAAAAGCCUCUAGAUAGAAAAUAGGUGCCCGUACCGCAAACCGACACAGGUAGUCAAGAUGAGAAUUCUAAGGUGAGCGAGCGAACUCUCGUUAAGGAACUCGACAAAAUGACCCCGUAACUUCGGGAGAAGGGGUGCUCUUUAGGGUUAACGCCCAGAAGAGCCGCAGUGAAUAGGCCCAAGCGACUGUUUAUCAAAAACACAGGUCUCUGCUAAACCGUAAGGUGAUGUAUAGGGGCUGACGCCUGCCCGGUGCUGGAAGGUUAAGAGGAGUGGUUAGCUUCUGCGAAGCUACGAAUCGAAGCCCCAGUAAACGGCGGCCGUAACUAUAACGGUCCUAAGGUAGCGAAAUUCCUUGUCGGGUAAGUUCCGACCCGCACGAAAGGCGUAACGAUUUGGGCACUGUCUCAACGAGAGACUCGGUGAAAUCAUAGUACCUGUGAAGAUGCAGGUUACCCGCGACAGGACGGAAAGACCCCGUGGAGCUUUACUGUAGCCUGAUAUUGAAAUUCGGCACAGCUUGUACAGGAUAGGUAGGAGCCUUUGAAACGUGAGCGCUAGCUUACGUGGAGGCGCUGGUGGGAUACUACCCUAGCUGUGUUGGCUUUCUAACCCGCACCACUUAUCGUGGUGGGAGACAGUGUCAGGCGGGCAGUUUGACUGGGGCGGUCGCCUCCUAAAAGGUAACGGAGGCGCUCAAAGGUUCCCUCAGAAUGGUUGGAAAUCAUUCAUAGAGUGUAAAGGCAUAAGGGAGCUUGACUGCGAGACCUACAAGUCGAGCAGGGUCGAAAGACGGACUUAGUGAUCCGGUGGUUCCGCAUGGAAGGGCCAUCGCUCAACGGAUAAAAGCUACCCCGGGGAUAACAGGCUUAUCUCCCCCAAGAGUUCACAUCGACGGGGAGGUUUGGCACCUCGAUGUCGGCUCAUCGCAUCCUGGGGCUGUAGUCGGUCCCAAGGGUUGGGCUGUUCGCCCAUUAAAGCGGUACGCGAGCUGGGUUCAGAACGUCGUGAGACAGUUCGGUCCCUAUCCGUCGUGGGCGUAGGAAAUUUGAGAGGAGCUGUCCUUAGUACGAGAGGACCGGGAUGGACAUACCUCUGGUGUACCAGUUGUCGUGCCAACGGCAUAGCUGGGUAGCUAUGUGUGGACGGGAUAAGUGCUGAAAGCAUCUAAGCAUGAAGCCCCCCUCAAGAUGAGAUUUCCCAACUUCGGUUAUAAGAUCCCUCAAAGAUGAUGAGGUUAAUAGGUUCGAGGUGGAAGCAUGGUGACAUGUGGAGCUGACGAAUACUAAUCGAUCGAAGACUUAAUCAA
rnacentral:rRNA from 1 species